CAAUGAUUCAGGACCACUUGCCAAGGGCAGGUUAGCAACAACUGGCAUUGCAACAAGAAAUUAACAAAUUGCUGAUUAUACACUGCACCUCCUGAGAUCAGAUCAAGGGACACUUUUGAGUCCACUUCAUCAUAAACUUUGCGGUACACACAAUCCCAGGCUAGCUGUAAUCCACGAACUAAAGCUUGUAGUUCUGCCUGCAUGGUGUUGCAAAAACUCAAUCUGACCAAAAAUCCAACUUGCCAAACCCUUAUAUGAUCCCUCAAGACAUUGCCUCCACUACAUCGGCCUGGAUGACCUUUAAAAGUUCCAUCUGUAUUUAAUUUGACCUAUCCACCUUUGAUACCAUCCAACCAUUGAUACCCAAGCAGAAACAUUAGUAGAAAUUUAAUUUCUCAACAUGACUCGUUUAGAAUCAACAUUUAGAUGAUGCUUGUUGGUGACCCUCUGGCUAUACAAGAUUGAGAUGCUGAAAGCUUUGCCAUAACUCUCUUGUUGUAGACUCACCGAAGAUAGAUCCUUGCUUCAACCUUGGAGAGCUUGGGGCAAUGUCUUUAAGAAUGGGAUUUCUUCUUGAACUGGCCUAAUUCUUAGCCUUGCAUGGCUUCCAAUGGAAAGGAUACCCUUAAUUCUUACUCUUGUGGUUCUUAUGUUCCCUUUGGUGCUAGGUUCUCUCAACAGUAUAGGUGGCGCGGUGAAAGAUUUGUGAUGGCAAGCAGCGUUGCAUAGAAGAGCUUAACGAAUGCCUACCUCUAGGGUUCCAGUUCUGUGGGCUCUAUUAGUGGGGUUUGGGUUGAGUCUAUCUCUGUGAUGGGCCUUGAGCAG
rnacentral:misc_RNA from 1 species